GGCUCUUAUGCAACAGCUUCCUGAAGCUGGCCUGAGCCCAAGAAUCGUAGUAUUUGUUUUAAGGAAACCGGGACAGUGCUUAAGAAUCUGCACCACCCCCUAUGGAGUGUGGAAAAAAAUAACAGCCUCUCGACUUCACCCUCUCUGGCAGUCAGACAGGAUGAAUGAGGACAAGCCGAGUUUGUCUGAGGUUGCUUGGCAGGGGGGGGAAAAAAAAGCAGACGGAAGUGAAGGGAAAAUAAAAAGCGUAGCGAGGCAAGAAUGCGUGAGUGGACGGUUCAUUUGCAUGGCACAAUCACUCAAAUGUGGACGGACAAGAAUGAAGACAUUUUGAAGACCAACAAUCAAAAUAGUAGCCCAAGUGCAUACAAAGUCGUUUCGGGGGAGGAAACGGACAGCGAGCGGGCCGACAGAAUCCAACGCAUGUGCACGUUUGUUUACCAUGAUCUCCAAAACAUCCUGUCCGCUGUUUGGGAUGUCCACCACAAAGAAGACGAGAUCUUCCAGAAGCUUGGUCACAAACCUUGAAAUUUGCCUGCAAUUGAGGCCAAGACUUUACUUGCAUCGUUGGCAAAGUCUAAAUCCCGCACCUCUGCUGGAGGCACAGGCACGAUAGCAAAAGCCUCCUUGUCUUCUUUCACUCCUGAAGUUCCAAUCUGAAAACAUUGAAGUUGUUUCACAUCUACAUCUUUUUUUUUUUUUUGCCAGCUGAUAAAUGACACGCUGUUUCUGGAACUCACUCUCAACAUGACGGGCUUUUCCUCCUCUUUGUCAAUGGGGAGGUUGGUGCUGUGGACCCACGUAUUGGUACACAAGUGUUUUAGCCGCACAUAGGAACUCCUACAAAGGACAACAAUGGAGGAAUGAAGGUUUAAUUUGUACCUGGGCACCAUGGAGUCUCCGCCUCUCAAAGUAGUGGGGUCUAACUCAAAGAUGGACGAGAUUUCCAUGCCAUCUGGGACCGGGACAAGGGUAUACAUGAUUUUCUCUUGAGGGGCCCGUAGACGGCCACGUAAGGCUUCAUUAUCUGCAUCCAGCUGGAUAAAGAAAAGUGUACAACUUAACAAGAGAUGCCAGCCACUAUUGUGAAUUCAACUUGUGAAGCUUGCUGAACAAAAUAUUAUAAUCCUGAGGAAUACACACGUAAACUGGUGAUUCUAGUAAAAGUCUGCCCACUAGUGGAGGUUUCAUGUAACAUGAAUCAGAAGUCAAUCGAUUCUGUCAUAAGCUAUCGUCACAAAUGUGCACCCGAUAUUAAAUAAUC